GCUUCAGUAGCUCAGUGGUAGAGCGCCGUCUUGACAUGGCGGAGGUCGAAGGUUCGAACCCUUCCUGAAGCA
rnacentral:tRNA from 6 species